rnacentral:rRNA from 1 species
UGGGGAAUUUUGCGCAAUGGGGGAAACCCUGACGCAGCAACGCCGCGUGGAGGAUGAAAUAUCUUGGUAUGUAAACUCCUUUCGAUGGGGAAGAUUAUGACGGUACCCAUAGAAGAAGCCCCGGCUAACUUCGUGCCAGCAGCCGCGGUAAUACGAGGGGGGCAAGCGUUGUUCGGAUUUAUUGGGCGUAAAGGGUGCGUAGGCGGUUUGGCAAGUCUUAUGUGAAAUCUUCGGGCUCAACCCGAAGCCUGCAUAAGAAACUGCCGGGCUUGAGUAUGGGAGAGGUGAGUGGAAUUUCCGGUGUAGCGGUGAAAUGCGUAGAUAUCGGAAGGAACACCUGUGGCGAAAGCGGCUCACUGGACCAUAACUGACGCUGAUGCACGAAAGCUAGGGGAGCAAACAGGAUUAGAUACCCUGGUAGUCCUAGCCCUAAACGAUGAUUGCUUGGUGUGGCAGGUACCCAAUCCUGCCGUGCCGAAGCUAACGCGAUAAG